rnacentral:tRNA from 1 species
GCUCCUGUGGUGAAACGGAAAUCACGCCGGACUACGAAUCCGGUGUUGAAGGUUCGAGUCCUUCCGGGAGCA